rnacentral:rRNA from 1 species
AUUGAACGCUGGCGGCAUGCCUUACACAUGCAAGUCGAACGGUAGAGGGGCAACCCUCGAGAGUGGCGAACGGGUGAGUAAUGCAUCGGAACGUGCCCAGUAGUGGGGGAUAGCCCGGCGAAAGCCGGAUUAAUACCGCAUACGACCUCAGGGUGAAAGCGGGGGACUCGCAAGAGCCUCGCGCUAUUGGAGCGGCCGAUGUCAGUUUAGGUAGUUGGUGGGGUAAAGGCCCACCAAGCCGACGAUCUGUAGCUGGUCUGAGAGGACGACCAGCCACACUGGGACUGAGACACGGCCCAGACUCCUACGGGAGGCAGCAGUGGGGAAUUUUGGACAAUGGACGAAAGUCUGAUCCAGCCAUGCCGCGUGCGGGAAGAAGGCCUUCGGGUUGUAAACCGCUUUUGUCAGGGAAGAAAUCUUCUGGGCUAAUACCCCGGGAGGAUGACGGUACCUGAAGAAUAAGCACCGGCUAACUACGUGCCAGCAGCCGCGGUAA